rnacentral:lncRNA from 1 species
AUGAAACAGAGAGACAAGCAUCUUUCUGCUCCUUGGAGAGGCCAGGCUGGCACACCUCUGUGCAAAACCAUCAGGAGAUGUGUUGUCAGAAGGCUUUCAUGGCCUGAAUCACUGGGUUGCUGUGAGUUUUCUGGGCUGUAUGGUCAUGUGCCAGGAGCAUUCUUCCCUGACGUUUCACCCGCAUCACUGGGUUGUUGUGAGUUUUCCAUGCUGUCUGGCCAUGUUCCAAAAGCCUUCUCUCCUGACGUUUCGCCCACAUCUAUGGCAGAGGUUGUGAGGUCUGUUGGAAACUACACUAGGCAAGUCGGGUUCAUAUAUCUGUGGAAUAAUGUCCAGGGUGGGAGAAAUAACUCUUGCCUGCUUGAGGCAGGUGUGAAUGUUGCAAUUGAUCACCUUGAUUCGCACUUAAUGGCCUUGCAGAUUCAAAGCCUGGCUGCUUCCUGCCUGAGGGAAUCCUUUGUUGGGAGUGCCCAAACAGGGAUGAAGGAACAUAAAAGGCACUGCAGACUUAACUCAACCUGAGAAGUCAGCCACAGCAGAGCACUGGAGGAACCAACCUGGACACAGUAUAUUAUUGGAGAACAAGAAAUGUUGGACCACUCCAACAACCACCAAGUCAGACUACACAGAGAAGCCACUGAAAUCCACAAGCAUGUGAACAAUUUCAAGAGGAAGGAGGAAACCAUGAAAAUGAACAAAAUCAUUAUUUUUUUUAAAAAACCCUCUAAAAUCAGGACAGUAAAUUAAAAAAUGACACUCAGAAAACAAGGGAAUUCCAGACAUGGGACAAUCAGGGCCAGCUAACACCUUCCAACAAAAGAUUCGCUCAGGCAGGACGCUGCCAAGCUUUGAAUCUGCAAGGCCAUUAAAUGCUAAUCAAGGUGAUAAAUUGCAAUAGACAAGAGUUCUUUCUCCCACUCUGGACUUUCCAAAGAUAUAUAAACCCCACUUGCCUAGUUUCCAACAGACCUCACAACCUCCGAGGAUGCCUGCCAUAGGUGUGGGUCAGGAGUCAGUCAGGAGAGAAUGCUUCUGGAACAUGGCCAUACAGCCCAGAAAACUCACAGCAACCCAUCAAGACCCAUGUUCUGUCCCUGAGAUGAAUACACCUCCUUCACAACAAGAACCCGGUGGCACCAUUGGCAAGAUGCAGAGGAUUUUGAAAAGCCCCAUUAGACAAUCAUUAGCUGAAUUAAGGCACAUUUCCCCACAAUUCAGUCCCUGUUAGUGAGCAGAAAAAUACCUGCCAGAGGGGCAGUUUUCUCAAUUGCUGGGAUGGGGAGGGGGUGCAAACCUAUCCAAAUACUGGCGGACUCCGGGCUGAUUUAAAUAAUUGCAUAAGGGCCUGUUCAUGAGCCAUUAAAAGCCCCCUUUCCCCCCACCAUGAACACUAUCACCAGGAGCAGAUAAACCUUGUUGCCAUGUAGAAAGACCAUAUCAUAAAGACCAGCUACAGUGGGCCCUUGGUAUAUGCUGGGGUUUGUUUCCAGGGCCCCCAGUAUAUACCAAAUCUGUGGAUCCUCAUCCCAUUAUAUUCAGUGGUGUAGUUAAGAUGAUGCCUCUUACAUAAAAUAGCAAAAUAAAGCUUUGCUUUUGAGAAUUGUUUUAAGGGGAGAUAUUUUCAAGCAGUGAAUGGUUUAAUCAGUGAAUGCAAAAUCAAUGGAUACAGAGAUUGAAUGGAAUGCAAAGAUGAUAUAGAGCAGUAGUUUCCAACUUUUGGUCCUCCAGAUGUUUUGGACCUGGGCUGUCAGCAUUCCUAACUAUUUGGUGAGCUGGCUGGGGCCUCCGGGAACUGAAGUCCAAAACAUAUAGAGGAUCAAACAUGGAAAUAACAAGUGUACAGCAUGUUCACACAAAAACAGGAAUAUUCUUCACAUGAUAGGAGUAGAACAUGAAUCUAAUGCUUUGGAACAUUCGGAAUGAUGCCGACUGUUACUCGUAGUCAACAAAGCCGAAUCCCAGCAGUCUGUAUCCUUUCUUGUGCAAUAAUUAUCUUGAACCACCAAUGCAAUGAAACAUCUGGAGAGGAAGGCUGAACAUUUUAUCUCAUUUUAUCUCAUCUCUGCAAGGGUUUUCUUAGCAUUUGGAGGAGAUCAUGGAAUAAUUCUUUGUAGCGGGUUACUUUUUGUACCAUACCUCCCAGAAUUACUGAGUCUGGGUGAUUCUUGGCCUCACAAUUUAAAAGUUAAUGUUUUUUCCACCAGAUCAGGGGCAUCUCAUCAGCAUGUGAGAUGUGAAUAUAUUCCCUAUACUAGACAUCUGAAAAGCCAGUGUAAGAAGUUAAGCUUGUGACGCUCCUGCAUAGCCUUUCAGUAUGUACUGAUAAUAGGGACCUAUGAUAGGUGUAGACACUGAAUUAUGUGAUGUUGGGAAUCUAUUGAGCGGUUAGACUCAAAUAACCCUCUUUUGGGGUGAUUCCUCAAAAAUACAGCAGAGUGGCAGACGCACACUUCAUAAACUGCAGAAACUUAUCCUUAGGAUGGCAAAAGAUUGCAAAAGUCUCAAUAAAACUUCAAAAUCAUUUAUUGAAGUAAAAAGAAAUACAUUGUAGAUAGAAAAGGUACUUGGAGCUAACUAGCUCUCUAGGUUAGCCACUAUGGAAGGUAAGAAGGUAAAAAUAACAAAAUAGCUACAUUUUGCCAGGAGAGAGGACAAAAUGUGGCCUUCUCAGGUUGAAGACAAAGGAGGAAGAGGAGACAAAAUGGGGCUGACCAAAUGGUCUAAGCCUUGGGGCAAUUAACAUUCCAAUAGAUAGAGGAAGUUACCUCAUCCCUAAAGGGUUGCAUUACUACAAAAACAAGGUGAAGAAGUGAAGGUAUACAGGAAAGCAUGAGAGGGAAAACAGCAAAGGCCUAUCUAGGCAUGCAUGGGAAUACAGAGAGGGUUCCCUCAGUCUAAUCCUAUCCUCUACCUAACUACUUGAGACUUGUGCAGUCCAUGAUGACAUCCAACAUGUGAAAACACAGUGAACCAAAGAAGCAAGAUCUGGGACAUGGGAAAGCUAAAGCUCUGCAGUGUUCCUGCAUGGCAGGGGGUUGGACUAGGUGGCCCUGGUGGUCUCUUCCAAGCCUAUAAUUCUAUUAACUCUAAUGAACCAAGAUUUUUAGUUUCCUGAAUCGCACAAUGUGGCAUCCAGGUUUUUUGCCCACCUGAUCGAAGCUAAGAAAACCUUUAAAAAUUCUUGUUUCCUAUGGAAUGUCAGCAACAUAAAUCAGACAAGGCCGUGAAAUGAUAACAUUGCCAUCUUAUUUCUGCUCUUGUUGCUAGGGCAGCAAUGUGUCAUGUAAACAUAUAAAAAAUAAUAUUCCUAUAGGGUUCAUUAUACAGCAAACAACUGAAAUAAGAUGGACCCCUUUCUCACAUCCAGUAAAAUGAAUAUAUAUCAUAAUAUAUCAAAGAAAAGGGGAUAGUUCUUUAAAAAGAAGGAAUAUCAACAAGGCCUCUCAACAUAUUGCUGCUUGUGUUCUCCCAAAAUGUUCAAAACUUCCUGUGUGCAGAAUACUCCAUCUAGGGGCAGAAAUUUCUUCUUAUCUCCUCCUAUUUUUCCCAGCCCCUGUCUUUCAAGCUGUUCUAUGUUUUGAGGUGUCACAAUUUCAGAAACAGAGACUAAACAUUCUUGUAUUUCUCAACAUCCUAGUACUGUUUUAAGAUGGGCAUUAUGUACUCUUCAAUGUCACUUCCAGACUUAGGCUCUCUGUAUGGAGACUUUUGAGUUCCUGUGACCUGAUUGCGUGUGAACAUCCUUCACCAGUACUAAUAUUCAAGAUUUGAAUUUGAGAUUGCUUAUCAUUAAUUUAUAUUCUUGGGUUAAUUUAUAUUCUCUUGUUUGUGUAUGCAAUCCUGAAAUCUGUCAGAGUGAAAGGCAGUCUAAAUUUAUUAAAUAGAUCUUUAUUUUUUUAAAAAUCAUUUUUACUCACUCCCAAACUACUGUUGCUGGUUAUUUAAUCUUUUUACCAGUUUUAAGUAAAGGUAAAGGUUUCCCCUGACGUUAAGUCCAGUCAUGUCUGACUCUGGGGGUUGGUGCUCAUCUCCAUUUCUAAGCCGAAGAGCCGGCGUUGUCCGUAGACACCUCCAAGGUCAUGUGGCCGGCAUGACUGUAUGGAGCGCCAUUACCUUCCUGCUGGAGCGGUACCUAUUGAUCUACUCACAUUGGCAUGUUUUUGAACUGCUAGGUUGGCAGAAACUGGAGCUAACAGUGGGCACUCACUCCACUCCCAGGAUUUGAACCUGGGACCUUUCGGUCUGCAAG